GUUGUGUAGCUGUCAAAAGAGGGUUUAGUGCUUGACCCAAAGAAGCAUUCAAAGCCCAGAUCUUUCUUUUUUUUAUUGCUUUUCAUUUUCAUUGUUUGUACUUUAUACUUAAGAAGGGGCCUCUGCGCAGGGGAAAGCCCCUGCUUUCGUAUUCACAACCAGCAGCCUUCUACUGAAACACCUCAAAAGCUUUUCACAGCAAGAAUUUGGAAAGCACUGCUCUGUGUCAACUGCUGGUGCAUAAUCAGGCUGCCCAUGGAGGGGCUGGGGCAGGAUGUGAGGAUGCACGUGCCGGAUGGAGCCCAGGGAGGAUGGGAUGGAGGAGCUGGAGGGAUUCAGGGCAUAUGCGUAAAUGAUCUGGCAAUAAACAGAAAAUACAAGAGGUCUGUAAGCUUGAGUGCAGUAAAGCAGGAGUGUGAAUCCAAAAGAUAUCUUUCCUGCGUGUGAUCUAAUUUCGGAGGUGGUGAAUAUUCACUUGUUGCAUAUGUGAUAGGCCUUGAGCAGAGUCCCAAAUCCCCCUGUUCUGCUGAAAAUGUGCACUUGGUGGUGAUGAGGACACCAGUAGCCUCUCUGCAUUUGGCUACAUCCCAACAUGAUUGAUGCUGAUUCCAGUCACAUUCAGCAUUUUGCAGGAAGUUGGAAGGAUUUGAAACUCAUCCAGGGAUUUGAAACUUCAGCAGUUUCUCUUCCUCUGAAAUACUUGAACCAGGCAAAGGAAAUUUUCAGGCUGCAUUAUGACCUUAAUUCCUCCUUUUUGCCCAUUAUCUCCUCAUUAUUGACCUAUAAUAAAUAUGAGUCCUUCAAGGACUUUUUUUCUCCCCAAAUCUCUUUAAGAAUGAAUGCUAGCAAUGUUGAAUCAAGGGCAUGGUGUCAAAUGGAAUAGUUUCAGGAUAAGCAGAGUUUUCUUUGAAUCUUGUUUAGAUGGGUGUAAUUUAAAAAAAAAAAAAAAGGCAAAGCUGGAGUUUAUAUCUAAGAGUGAGCUGCAAGUUCCCAUCAGUUAUUAACUCUUCUUUUCCCCCUAUGUAUCUUAUAGCAAAGCUAACCAUAACAGUAUUGUAUAAUUUCCUGUGUAAUAUGUAGUGUGAUAAAUUAGACUACACAAGUGGCUAUGUAUGACCAGCAGCAGCAAAGAAGUUAUAUAAAUAAACCAAAGUUAAUUAAAAUAUUAGAAAAUAUA
rnacentral:lncRNA from 1 species